rnacentral:lncRNA from 10 species
AGACAUUCAUUUCCCAUCUUCUCACCUGGCAUUUUGAGAUAAUCACUGGCUACUCUUUGGACUCUGGUCCCUGAAAAGGAGCCAGUUUGCUUCCUGAACUAAACCAGUGCCCUGAGAUGGAAGCAGGAUAUUAUAUAAACCACCACCACAAACAGCAUACCAGGAAAACACAACUCAGAUCUUCCUGGCUCUUCCACUAGCUGUGAGACAUGGGGCAAGGCUCCAGAUUCAGCUGGGCCUUUAUUAACCAGCCCUGGAGUUAAAUCAUCAACCCAGAGGUCUGUCCUAGCCCUGGAGCCCAAGGAGACCCCUGAUUAUGCAGCAAGCAGGUUGGGCUCACAUAUUUUCCCACCGAUAGACAAGAGAUUACCAGAAAAGGGGUGAGGAAUCCAGAGAGAAUGUCUGCAUAAGAAGGAGGGUGGAGAUUUCUUACUGAACUAAAGGCUUCAAGAAUUGGCAAAUACCUGCUCAAUGUUUUUCCAGACUUUUGUAUUUCUGAUGACUGGAUGACUCCACCUGGACCCGAGACUCAUGACUCACCCAGUCCUGUGGCCCCACCCAGAAGUGGACUCAGAGCAAGAGGACCAUUUUCCACACCCCAAUGAGUGCAUCCCCAACCAAUCAGCAGCACCUGUUCCCUAGCCCCCUGACCACCAAACUCUCCUUGAGAAACCGUAGCCUCCAAAUUUUCUGGGAGGCUGAUUUGAGUAAUAAUAAAACUUUGGUCUCCUAUGUAGCUGGCUCUAUGUGUAUUAAACUCUUCCUCUAUUGCAAUUCCCCUGCCUUGGUAAGUCGG